AUUUUGAUGGCUGAGUUGGUAGAGUGGAGUACUGUAGGACCUAUUCUUAGGUCGCAGGUUCGACUCCAGCUCAAAGGA
rnacentral:tRNA from 1 species